UGGAGGGCAAGUCUGGUGCCAGCAGCCGCGGUAAUUCCAGCUCCAAUAGCGUAUAUUAAAGUUGUUGCAGUUAAAAAGCUCGUAGUUGAACCUUGGGUCUGGCUGGUCGGUCCGCCUCACCGCGAGUACUGAUCCGGCUGGACCUUUCCUUCUGGGGAACCUCAUGGCCUUCACUGGCUGUGGGGGGAACCAGGACUUUUACUGUGAAAAAAUUAGAGUGUUCAAAGCAGGCCUUUGCUCGAAUACAUUAGCAUGGAAUAAUAGAAUAGGACGUGCGGUUCUAUUUUGUUGGUUUCUAGGACCGCCGUAAUGAUUAAUAGGGAUAGUCGGGGGCGUCAGUAUUCAGCUGUCAGAGGUGAAAUUCUUGGAUUUGCUGAAGACUAACUACUGCGAAAGCAUUCGCCAAGGAUGUUUUCAUUAAUCAGGGAACGAAAGUUAGGGGAUCGAAGACGAUCAGAUACCGUCGUAGUCUUAACCAUAAACUAUGCCGACUAGGGAUCUGACGGGAUUCUAUAAUGACCCGUUCGGCGCCUUACGGGAAAC
rnacentral:rRNA from 1 species